rnacentral:rRNA from 1 species
CAGUCGACGGUGAAGCCAAGCUUGCUUGGUGGAUCAGUGGCGAACGGGUGAGUAACACGUGAGCAACCUGCCCUGGACUCUGGGAUAAGCGCUGGAAACGGCGUCUAAUACUGGAUAUGAGCUCUUACCGCAUGGUGGGGGUUGGAAAGAUUUUUCGGUCUGGGAUGGGCUCGCGGCCUAUCAGCUUGUUGGUGAGGUAAUGGCUCACCAAGGCGUCGACGGGUAGCCGGCCUGAGAGGGUGACCGGCCACACUGGGACUGAGACACGGCCCAGACUCCUACGGGAGGCAGCAGUGGGGAAUAUUGCACAAUGGGCGGAAGCCUGAUGCAGCAACGCCGCGUGAGGGAUGACGGCCUUCGGGUUGUAAACCUCUUUUAGCAGGGAAGAAGCGAGAGUGACGGUACCUGCAGAAAAAGCGCCGGCUAACUACGUGCCAGCAGCCGCGGUAAUACGUAGGGCGCAAGCGUUAUCCGGAAUUAUUGGGCGUAAAGAGCUCGUAGGCGGUUUGUCGCGUCUGCUGUGAAAUCCCGAGGCUCAACCUCGGGCCUGCAGUGGGUACGGGCAGACUAGAGUGCGGUAGGGGAGAUUGGAAUUCCUGG